UGGGGAAUAUUGGACAAUGGGGGCAACCCUGAUCCAGCAAUGCCGCGUGGGUGAUGAAGGCCUUCGGGUUGUAAAGCCCUUUCGGCGGGGAAGAUGAUGACGGUACCCGCAGAAGAAGCCCCGGCUAACUUCGUGCCAGCAGCCGCGGUAAUACGAAGGGGGCUAGCGUUGUUCGGAAUUACUGGGCGUAAAGGGCGCGUAGGCUGUGCUGUAAGUCAGGCGUGAAAGGCCCGGGCUCAACCUGGGAACUGCGCUUGAUACUGCGGCGCUUGAAGACGGGAGAGGAUGGCGGAAUUCCCAGUGUAGAGGUGAAAUUCGUAGAUAUUGGGAAGAACACCGGUGGCGAAGGCGGCCAUCUGGCCCGUUAUUGACGCUGAGGCGCGAAAGCGUGGGGAGCAAACAGGAUUAGAUACCCCCGUAGUCC
rnacentral:rRNA from 1 species